rnacentral:RNase_P_RNA from 1 species
GGGGCGGGCCGGGGCGCCGCCGCGGAUCCUCGCAAGAGGCAUACCGUGGAGGAAAGUCCGGGCUCGAAAGGAUGCGACGCCGGCUAACGGCCGGGAAUGUCCUCGGCGACGGAGACAUUACAGACAGCGCAACAGAAAGCGAACCGCCGAUGUCUUCGGGCAACGGUAAGGGUGAAAAGGUGGGGUAAGAGCCCACCGCGUUCGCGGCAACGCGAAUGGCACGGCAAACCUCGUCGCGAGCAAGGCCGAACAGCGGGUGCGCGGUCCGCGCGCGUUUGGAUACGGCUCGCCGUAUCCGGACAAUCCCGCGGGUAGGUCGCUUGAACCGAAGGGUAACCUUCGUGUCAGAUGGAUGGCGCCCGCCGCGCGGCAACGCGAGGUACAGAACCCGGCUUAUAGGCUCGCCCCCUUU